CUGGGCUUGACAUCCCGAGAAUCCUGUAGAAAUACGGGAGUGCCUCUUCGAGGAACUCGGUGACAGGUGCUGCAUGGCUGUCGUCAGCUCGUGUCGUGAGAUGUUGGGUUAAGUCCCGCAACGAGCGCAACCCUUGCCUUUAGUUGCCAGCAUUGAGUUGGGCACUCUAAAGGGACUGCCGGUGUUAAACCGGAGGAAGGUGGGGAUGACGUCAAGUCCUCAUGGCCCCUAUGUCCAGGGCUACACACGUGCUACAAUGGUCGAUACAAAGGGCUGCGAACCCGCGAGGGGGGGCUAAUCUCAAAAAAUCGGCCUCAGUUCGGAUCGGAGUCUGCAACUCGACUCCGUGAAGUUGGAAUCGCUAGUAAUCGCGGAUCAGCAUGCCGCGGUGAAUACGUUCC
rnacentral:rRNA from 1 species